rnacentral:lncRNA from 1 species
CAAUAAUGAGGCAAUUCUUUAAAAUUUAACAUGUUAUUGUUUGUGUCUGAAGGAGAAGAAGUUGACGUUGAUGACAUGGAACCAGUUUUAGGAAACGUGGGAACAGAGUUGACAGGAGGAAAGAUUGAUGCCAAUAAAGUGAAUACACUUUUAGAAAAUAUGGGUAUGAAACUCACUGAAGAGGAGCUUGGUGAUCUAACACAAAAUCUGAUUGUUAAUGGUGAUGGUAAGGUUGAUCUGAAAAGGGUGAUGAAUGAAAUGAAACCUUUUACGAGAGACAAAGUUGAUCCAAAUCAACUGGAAAGCAUCUUGAGAAACUUGGGAAUUAAGCUCACACCUAGUGAACACUUGGAGUUGAAGCCACUGCCAGAUAAUGCCAAUGAAGAAGUAUAUCAGAAAAGGUUGAUGAAGGGCAUAACGUCUUUCAACCGAGACAGUGUUGAUGUCGAUCAGCUGGACACUUUUUUAGAAAACAUGGGGAUCACAAUCACAGAACAAGAAUUCAUGGAUCUAACAAAUAGACUGUCAGAUGAUGGUGAGCACUAUCAUUAUUCCCAUACUUCCUACAGGGUACUUAUUUUUUUAGACUUGAAAAC